GACUACAGCCAUACCAACCUGAAGCACCCAGUCUCAUCUGGUCUCAGAAGCUAAGCAGGGCCGGCUUGGUUAGUACUUCGAUGGGAGAAGUAGACUUAUAAAGAGUAAAUGGCAGGACAAAAAUUUGGACUCA
rnacentral:rRNA from 1 species